rnacentral:rRNA from 1 species
CCUACGGGUGGCUGCAGUGGGGAAUAUUGCGCAAUGGGGGGAACCCUGACGCAGCAACGCCGCGUGAGUGACGAAGGUUUUCGGAUCGUAAAGCUCUGUCAUUGGGGACGAAGGAAGUGACGGUACCCAAUAAGGAAGCCCCGGCUAACUACGUGCCAGCAGCCGCGGUAAUACGUAGGGGGCGAGCGUUGUCCGGAAUUACUGGGCGUAAAGGGUGCGUAGGCGGCCAUAUAAGUCAGCUGUGAAAUACCGGGGCUUAACCCCGGGGGUGCAGUUGAAACUGUAUGGCUUGAGUGCAGGAGAGGAAAGCGGAAUUCCUAGUGUAGCGGUGAAAUGCGUAGAGAUUAGGAGGAACACCAGUGGCGAAGGCGGCUUUCUGGACUGUAACUGACGCUGAGGCACGAAAGCGUGGGUAGCGAACAGGAUUAGAUACCCCGGUAGUC